GGCAGUGUGGCGUAGGGGUAAGGAGCAGGGCUCAUAACCCCAAGGUUGCUGGUUCGAUUCCCCUCUCACG